CGGGGCGUAGCGCAGCUUGGUAGCGCGCUACUUUGGGGUAGUAGAGGUCGUGGGUUCAAAUCCCGCCGCUCCGA
rnacentral:tRNA from 1 species